UAACACCGGCAGCCCGAGUGGUGAUCACUAUUAUUGGGUCUAAAGGGUCCGUAGCCGGUUUAAUCAGUCUUCUGGGAAAUCUAAUCGCUUAACUAUUAGGCUUCCAGGGGAUACUGUUAGACUUGGGACCGGGAGAGGUAAGAGGUACUGCAGGGGUAGGAGUGAAAUCUUGUAAUCCCUGUGAGACCACCAGUGGCGAAGGCGUCUUACCAGAACGGGUCCGACGGUGAGGGACGAAAGCUGGGGGCACGAACCGGAUUAGAUACCCGGGUAGUCCCAGCUGUAAACGAUGCUCGUUAGGUGUCAGGAACGGUGCGACUGUUUCUGGUGCCGAAGGGAAGCCGUGAAACGAGCCACCUGGGAAGUACGGCCGCAAGGCUGAAACUUAAAGGAAUUGGCGGGGGAGCACUACAACGGGUGGAGCCUGCGGUUUAAUUGGACUCAACGCCGGAAAACUCACCGGGGGCGACAGCAAUAUGUAGGUCAGGUUAAAGGUCUUACCUGAAUCGCUGAGAGGAGGUGCAUGGCCGUCGUCAGUUCGUACUGUGAAGCAUCCUGUUAAGUCAGGCAACGAGCAAGACCCGUGCCCACUGUUACCAGCAUAUCCUUUAUGGAUGAUGGGGACUCUGUGGGGACCGCUGCUGCUAAAGCAGAGGAAGGUGCGGGCUACGGUAGGUCAGUAUGCCCCGAAUCUCCCGGGCUACACGCGGGCUACAAUGGUUGGGACAAUGGGUAUCUACUCCGAAAGGAGUUGGCAAUCUCUUAAACCCAAUCGUAGUUCGAAUUGAGGGCUGUAACUCGCCCUCAUGAAGCUGGAAUCCGUAGUAAUCGCGUUUCAACAUAGCGCGGU
rnacentral:rRNA from 1 species